rnacentral:rRNA from 1 species
CCUACGGGCGGCAUCAGUGGGGAAUAUUGGACAAUGGGCGAAAGCCUGAUCCAGCCAUGCCGCGUGUGUGAAGAAGGCCUUCGGGUUGUAAAGCACUUUCAGUGGGGAAGAAAGCCUUGGGGCUAAUACCCUCGAGGAAGGACAUCACCCACAGAAGAAGCACCGGCUAACUCCGUGCCAGCAGCCGCGGUAAUACGGAGGGUGCGAGCGUUAAUCGGAAUUACUGGGCGUAAAGCGCGCGUAGGCGGUCUGAUAAGUCGGUUGUGAAAGCCCCGGGCUCAACCUGGGAACGGCAUCCGGAACUGUCAGGCUAGAGUGCAGGAGAGGAAGGUAGAAUUCCCGGUGUAGCGGUGAAAUGCGUAGAGAUCGGGAGGAAUACCAGUGGCGAAGGCGGCCUUCUGGACUGACACUGACGCUGAGGUGCGAAAGCGUGGGUAGCAAACAGGAUUAGAUACCCUGGUAGUC